rnacentral:rRNA from 1 species
GAUGAACGCUAGCGACAGGCUUAACACAUGCAAGUCGAGGGGCAGCACAGGUAGCAAUACCGGGUGGCGACCGGCGCACGGGUGAGUAACGCGUAUGCAACUUACCUAUCAGAGGGGGAUAACCCGGCGAAAGUCGGACUAAUACCGCAUGAAGCAGGGGUCCCGCAUGGGGAUAUUUGCUAAAGAUUCAUCGCUGAUAGAUAGGCAUGCGUUCCAUUAGGCAGUUGGCGGGGUAACGGCCCACCAAACCGACGAUGGAUAGGGGUUCUGAGAGGAAGGUCCCCCACAUUGGUACUGAGACACGGACCAAACUCCUACGGGAGGCAGCAGUGAGGAAUAUUGGUCAAUGGCCGAGAGGCUGAACCAGCCAAGUCGCGUGAGGGAUGAAGGUUCUAUGGAUCGUAAACCUUUUUUAUAAGGGAAUAAAGUGCGGGACGUGUCCCGUUUUGUAUGUACCUUAUGAAUAAGGAUCGGCUAACUCCGUG